GAUGAAGAACGCAGCGAAAUGCGAUAAGUAGUGUGAAUUGCAGAAUUCAGUGAAUCAUCGAAUCUUUGAACGCACAUUGCGCCCCCUGGCAUUCCAGGGGGCAUGCCUGUUCGAGCGUCAUUUAGUAGCCAUCGAGCGAGUUCGCCUCGCUUGGGUCUGGGGGACGGUUGCAACUCGGUGCACCCACCCCCGAAAUACAACGGCGGACAAAAAAACCACCCCUCGGUACUGCAGCGUAGUAAGUUAUUCUUUCGCGAGCGGCCACGGGAGGGACCGUCCAGCCCGGCAAAAUCCCCAAAUCCAACGGUUGACCUCGGAUCAGGUAGGGAUACCCGCUGAACUUAAGCAUAUCAAUAAGCGGAGGA
rnacentral:misc_RNA from 1 species